rnacentral:rRNA from 1 species
GUGCCAGCCGCCGCGGUAAUACGUAGGGGGCAAGCGUUGUCCGGAUUUAUUGGGCGUAAAGAGCGUGUAGGCGGCCUGGAAGGUCUGCUGUGAAAACUCGAGGCUCAACCUCGAGACGCCGGCAGAAACCCUCAGGCUAGAGUCCGGAAGAGGAGAGUGGAAUUCCUGGUGUAGCGGUGAAAUGCGCAGAUAUCAGGAAGAACACCCGUGGCGAAGGCGGCUCUCUGGGACGGUACUGACGCUGAGACGCGAAAGCGUGGGGAGCGAACAGGAUUAGAAACCCCUGUAGUCC